UACAGAGACUGCAAGCGUUAUUCGGAUUCACUGGGCGUAAAGGGUGCGCAGGCGGCCGUGUGUGUGAGGCGUGAAAGCCUGGAGCUUAACUCCAGAAUUGCACCUCAAACUACACGGCUAGAGCAUUGGAGAGGGUAGCAGAAUUCACGGUGUAGCAGUGAAAUGCGUAGAUAUCGUGAGGAAUACCAGAGGCGAAGGCGGCUACCUGGACAAUUGCUGACGCUCAGGCACGAAAGCGUGGGGAGCGAACAGG
rnacentral:rRNA from 1 species